UUGCUUAUUAUAGAUAUCACUAUCACGGCCUAAUGCUGUAACCAAUCAAGUUUUCCAAGCAAGGAAUAAGGAUUUGAAAAUGAUCUUUAGAAAAUUGGAUCAUGGACUGCUUGGGCUUUGAAAGUGUGCAGUGGAAUUUUAGUCAGAUGAGCUACCUUGAAACAGAGUUAUGAGAAGAGGCUCAGAACAGGACACUGGGAGUAGCCACCAUCAGCAUGAG